rnacentral:lncRNA from 1 species
UCGAAGUAUCUCCACAAGAAUCGGCUGUUCAUCUUCUCCACAAGAAUGGCUGAGACCUUUCUGUUCAUGUUCUACUAUUCAUCUUUUCCUUUCUAUAUCUGCGGCAAGCGGUGAGAGAAUCAGCUGAGAUUAUCAAUCAACUGCUUUCCAUUUGAUUAUCAACUCCAUUUGAGAUUAUCAAUCCAUUUAAGAUUCAGAAUCAACUCCAUCGAGUGGAAUAUGAAUAUGAAAUUCCAGAUCUGUAAACUGC